UGAAGUAUAGCCAAGUGGUAAGGCCUCCGUUUUUGAUACGGAAAAUCAAAGGU
rnacentral:tRNA from 1 species